CACAGCAGCCAUAUCACCCUGCAACUCACAACUGGCAACCCACUGAAGCUCAGCAGGUGUGAGCCUGGUCAGUCCCUGGAUGGGAGAUCUCCUGGGAAAAACUAAGGUUGCUGCUAGAA
rnacentral:rRNA from 1 species